rnacentral:rRNA from 1 species
UACGUAGGGUGCAAGCGUUACUCGGAAUUACUGGGCGUAAAGCGUGCGCAGGCGGUUUUGCAAGGCAGAUGUGAAAUCCCCGGGCUUAACCUGGGAACUGCAUUUGUGACUGCAUGGCUAGAGUGCGGCAGAGGGGGAUGGAAUUCCGCGUGUAGCAGUGAAAUGCGUAGAUAUGCGGAGGAACACCGAUGGCGAAGGCAAUCCCCUGGGCCUGCACUGACGCUCAUGCACGAAAGCGUGGGGAGCAAACAGG